rnacentral:sRNA from 1 species
GAGACCCUUCUACCAGCCCAUCUUUGUCCCAGACUACACCAAGUAAAGAUACUGAUGAUCAGUCCAGGAAAAACAUGACUAGCAAGAACCGGGGCAAGAGGAAAGCUGAUGCCACUUCUUCCCAAGACAGUGAAUUAGAACGGGUAUUUCUAUGGGACUUGGAUGAAACCAUCAUCAUCUUCCAUUCACUUCUUACUGGAUCCUAUGCCCAGAAAUAUGGAAAGGACCCAACAGUAGUGAUUGGCUCAGGUUUAACAAUGGAAGAAAUGAUUUUUGAAGUGGCUGAUACUCAUCUAUUUUUCAAUGACUUAGAGGAGUGUGACCAGGUACAUGUGGAAGAUGUGGCUUCUGAUGACAAUGGCCAAGACUUGAGCAACUACAGUUUCUCAACAGAUGGUUUCAGUGGCUCAGGAGGUAGUGGCAGCCAUGGUUCAUCUGUGGGUGUUCAGGGAGGUGUGGACUGGAUGAGGAAACUAGCUUUCCGCUACCGGAAAGUGAGAGAAAUCUAUGAUAAGCAUAAAAGCAACGUGGGUGGUCUCCUCAGUCCCCAGAGGAAGGAAGCACUGCAGAGAUUAAGAGCAGAAAUUGAAGUUUUAACAGAUUCCUGGUUAGGAACUGCAUUAAAGUCCUUACUUCUCAUCCAGUCCAGAAAGAAUUGUGUGAAUGUUCUGAUCACUACCACCCAGCUGGUUCCAGCCCUGGCCAAGGUUCUCCUAUAUGGACUAGGAGAAAUAUUUCCUAUUGAGAACAUCUAUAGUGCUACCAAAAUUGGUAUGGUUUCUAUGCUGUUUCUUGUUACUGGCCUUGCAAUAAAACUUUCUACUCAUGAUGCA